CACCCACCAUGAUGGAAGCAGCCAGGGGGCCCCUCACCAGAGCUGGCAACAUCCUGUUUGGACUAUCAAUCUCUAAAACAAGUUAACUGACUGCAAAGAAAACGCAAGCCCUGUCAUCUGUUGCCUGGCCAACAUCUGGGUGAUUGGGUGGAGAGCUUAGGUUUGCACUAGGUAAUAUAACGCCUCACUUGUCUUCGUUGGAUGCAAACUCAAAGAAUCAUGCUUUGCUGAUGGUGGUGAUUUACUACAAUUGGAUUAACAGCAUUUUCAAAUGUACACUCACUGGAAGCAAAUUCACUAAUAUCAAAAGAAGACAUGAAUUAGUUGCAAUGCCUUAUGGUUGUGCUUCCAAGCAGAAAAGACAGCUGCUGUCCCUUGCUGCAUUUUGGAUUCCAUGUGACAAGCAAUGGCUCAGUCUUUCAAGGGGAAAACUCUGAGGAAGCUUUUGUCUUGUCUCAGGGACUAUCUCUUGAGAGGCAGUCCUGUCAGCCAGGAGUCAAAUAAAUUCAGGCUUCGAGACUCAGAGGAGGAGAUGAGCUGUGCAUUUGCUCUCUUGGCAUGCAUCCUGGGCUCUCUGUGAAGAUCUUUCUCCUUAAGACAAAUUAUGGGUCCCUAAGACCUUUCACUAAAGGAAACAUUACUCAUGCAAAUUAAAUAGUGCAUUCUAGAUGGGGUGAGAGGUCUCUAUUACUAGUAUUUUUUUUUUUUUAAUUUAGGAACUUAGGCCUUGAGUUUUCAGUGAAGCUCUGUGCUAUUUAUAGACCAUAGAGCUGGAAUAUUAGACACUAUGCAUUUGUCUACCUUUUGCAUUCCAAUGCUUUGUAAUCACGGUUUAGGUCUUUGUAAUCCUUGCCUGCUGAUAUAAAUAAGAGAGACAGACGUUGUUAUGAGAUUGUGAACAAAACACUUUGUUGCAUUAAAGUUUGUAAGACAUAUUCAACCAUGUCUAGCCUGAUGAGUGAUUUUAAGGGUUAAUUAGUUCAAAUUUACAGAGUGCUUGGAAAAGAAAGUGUGGUAUACAGAAACUAAUUAAUAAAAUAUACACUUCAUAAACAUGUCAACCAUCUCACCCUAAUCUUCCCCUCUCCAAAAUAUUGCUAGUUUAUUUUUGUAUUAUGUAUUUGCCUUUAUGAGACCCAAUAAAAUAUUUCUCUUAUUGUUUCAAUAUCAA